UACGUAGGUGGCAAGCGUUAUCCGGAUUUACUGGGUGUAAAGGGCGCGUAGGCGGGCAUGCAAGUCAGAUGUGAAAUACCGAGGCUUAACCUUGGGGGGUCAUUUGAAACUGCAUGUCUUGAGUGAUGGAGAGGCAGGCGGAAUUCCUAGUGUAGCGGUGAAAUGCGUAGAUAUUAGGAGGAACACCAGUGGCGAAGGCGGCCUGCUGGACAUUAACUGACGCUGAUGCGCGAAAGCGUGGGGAGCAAACAGG
rnacentral:rRNA from 1 species